GCUGACCGGAGACACCCAAGAUGGCUUUUCUAAAAUGGGAUUUUUUUGUGGAUUUCUGUGGUGUCUUUUGACCGAGAGCAUGGAAAAGAUGACUGAUUUUUUCGGAUAUAUUCAGUCGAGUCUUUACCUACUGCCACUGUGCAAGGAUUAUGGGCCUCUUUUAAGACUCUUGACAGGUAUAUGCUGUAUCGGUUUUCACACUGGCUUCAGCCACAGAGCCCUCAUCAUAUGGAUCACUUUACCAGCCAACAGCCCUGGAUUCAUGCCACACACAAGAGAGACGCUCCAGACCUUGCAGACAGUUCAAUGUCAUUAAUAAGAUCAUUCCCUCCUUUUCCAACCUCUCCCGUCAGUUAGAGUGAUAACAUGACAUCAUCACAGGUAAUCUCCCGUUGUAAAUAUGUGUCUUAAAACCAGUUAUAUUGGACUCUAGAUUUCAGACCUCUGGGCUUAGGCUAUUCUUUGUUAGCAAUAACUGUCAAAUCUGUCUAGUAUAAACCGGCAUUAAAAUACUGUUUUUAAACCAACUGUCGACAAGUUCAUCAGCUGAAACGACAAG